GAUGAACGCUGGCGGCGUGCCUAAUACAUGCAAGUCGAGCGAGCGGACGAGAAGCUUGCUUCUCUGAUGUUAGCGGCGGACGGGUGAGUAACACGUGGAUAACCUACCUAUAAGACUGGGAUAACUUCGGGAAACCGGAGCUAAUACCGGAUAAUAUUUUGAACCGCAUGGUUCAAAAGUGAAAGACGGUCUUGCUGUCACUUAUAGAUGGAUCCGCGCUGCAUUAGCUAGUUGGUAAGGUAACGGCUUUCCAAGGCAACGAUGCAUAGCCGACCUGAGAGGGUGAUCGGCCACACUGGAACUGAGACACGGUCCAGACUCCUACGGGAGGCAGCAGUAGGGAAUCUUCCGCAAUGGGCGAAAGCCUGACGGAGCAACGCCGCGUGAGUGAUGAAGGUCUUCGGAUCGUAAAACUCUGUUAUUAGGGAAGAACAUAUGUGUAAGUAACUGUGCACAUCUUGACGGUACCUAAUCAGAAAGCCACGGCUAACUACGUG
rnacentral:rRNA from 1 species